UCCCGCUGCACGGCCUGCGAGGGAUUUCCAUGGUGAGGGUGAAUCACGAGGGCUUCUUGUGGCCUGGUCUGUCUUACCUGCCUCUCCUUCAUGCAGGCUAUUUUUUUUUUAAGCAAGGAAAGAAUAACUUUAUUACAUACACAACCAAGCCAUGGCUGCUAUUCAGAAGCCGCUUUGCCUGGAGUAUCUCAAAGCAGCAGCUGGCCCUUGCGGAGUGUUCCGUGCACGAGUCCUGCAUCCAGGCACUUGCCCGUGUACUUUCCUCAAACGUACUCAUUUAAUCCUCAGGAGAGUCCCAUGAGAGCUUAGACGCAUGUCCAGCCGCCUGCUGUAAAUCCUCUCUGGCUGUAAAGGACAAUGUAAACAACGUGGGUGCCGUUUAAACAGUCCCCAGCAUGGCACAGGCAGCGCCACUGGAAAUGCCUCCAUCUUUCUAAAGAGAAACAGAUGUUUGAAGAGCGGAGCUGAGCAGAAGCCAUUCUUCAAACAGAAGAUUAAAGCAUCUGUCGGGUAUGCCGGGCCAGCGACCCUCAGUGGCCACCUCAGCUGGGCCUGCUGGUCACAGCUUCCAGGGUGUGUGGUGGAGGAGGGCGUUGGGGGGUGGGCGGAGGGGAAGGAGGGAGCUGAGUGCUGAUGCCCAGGCCUCUCGGCUACUUCUCAUUUCCAGAGUCAGAGUUACAGUGGCCCGUGGCCCAUUGAUGUCCUGCUGGCCUGUCCAGUGUGCUGCCAGCCCAUCGGGGGUCCUGUUCACAUUCCUAGGGCCUUCCCUGAACAUUGUCCUUUUUAUUCCUGACGCCAGUUGUCACUGAGGCCCUGGACAGAGAGCUCACACCUGGCCGGGUCUAGGCGUCCCUGCCCUGUGUCAGACCCUCCAGAGUCCCUUCCUCUUCCAGGUCCUCCGUCCAGAAUUCACCUUCUGAAAGACUGGGGUGCACACCACACACAACAUUCCUGGGAUUCAUGGGAAAUAAAUGUGCUCAUCUCUUAGGACUAAGAAGGAGAGAACAUCAUUCCUGCUCUGCAGCUCAGUAAGAAUUCCAAAAUGUUGAUGGAAGAAAGGGGAUCAGAAGAGAAGUUUGCAGGGGAUGCCUAGGGUUGAAGAGUCCCUUCUUUUUGCUUUCUCUUGUCCCUUCCCCAAAAAGGUCCAUAAGAGAAAUUCUUCCUGUGCAAAGCUUUAGUGAGCCUGGGGCACGGAGGAGCAAAUCUGGAAAGGGUGACCUCCAAUGAUGACCAUGCAAGGGGGAGACGUGCGGGGGAGGACGUGGAGGAAGGAGAUGGGCAGGGGAGGACGAGGAAGGGAGGAUGUGAAGGAGGAACCUAGAGGAGGGACUGGAUGAGGACGUGGAUUAGGGAUAAAGAUGAAGGACAAGGAGGGUGGGCAUGGAGGACAAAAAUGGAGCAAUGUCAUGAAAGGAGGGACAUGGUAAGGGUUUUUCUUACUGUGAGUCUCGUGGAGAGGGUCUCUUACUGUGAACAUCAAAGUGUGGGUCUCCAUCACUGUGAGCCUUGUGGACAGGGUCACCAUCAUUGUGAGACUCAUGGACAGGG